CGGUUGAGCACAUGCGCAUUGCACUGACCUUUCAACUAGAGUUAACCAGAGUUGGACGAAUCACAUGUUCAAGAUCUGCUUUCAAUUCAAUGAAUCUGAACUUUUUCUAUAGCCAGAAAAAUUGAAAAAAAUAUUGAAUAUGUUUGAUAUUUUAAAAGAACAAGUGGGAGACAGCAACAAAACAGUCUGAAUGCCAACCGCGACAACAUGUCUACUUAAGCAAGAAAAAAAUCAUAAUAAUUAAUGGCAAAGUUUGGCAUAUCUAAAUAUCUAUAAAACAAACGAUAUUGGCAAAUCUGACUUAAAAAAAUCAAUGCUCAUCAAAAUUCAAAAUGCAGUGUCUGACGUUUAUAACUGUGAUAAAGCAACCUUAUAACAGGAAGCCAUAAUUUUACAUUCAACAAUUGCAUGAC
rnacentral:lncRNA from 1 species